UUGCAUCAGGUCCUUGCAAAAGGCUUGGGAUGAAGAGGAGGGAAACCAGUGCUAGGUCUAAUAGGGGCACUGAAAGGGGUUCUAACAGUGGACGAGGGGGCUGGGUGUGGCUAGCUAGGGGAGGGUUUAGGCUAGCCAUGAGUAGAUCAAUCUACGCCUCAACCCUCCGAAUAGCAGUGAUGAGAACCUUGACACUGUCCUGCUGAGAAAUGAUAGCUUCCUUAACUCUCUUAGAAACUCUAGCAGCCUCCGCAAUCAGAUGCCCAAAUCCCUAGAUAGGUUAGAAGUCUGAUCUUGUGCCUUCUCCAAAAUCUCCAAUCUUUGAGACAAGCUGCUGGUCUACUGACUAAGCUGCUCAAACUGUCCCUGAGAUGAAACUCUACACUCAUCAAGACUCAGAGUGAUCUGCUGCUAAAAACCUAUAAAAAUAGUCCUCCAUUCUCUUUAUAAUUCUCUCCAUAACCUGUUCUACAGCCCUUUCAGCACUAAAACUAUAAUGCAUAAUAGGGGUGU
rnacentral:lncRNA from 1 species